GGUUGACCUCGGAUCAGGUAGGGAUACCCGCUGAACUUAAGCAUAUCAAUAAGCGGAGGAAAAGAAACCAACCGGGAUUGCCUCAGUAACGGCGAGUGAAGCGGCAAGAGCUCAAAUUUGAAAUCUGGCCCCUCCGGGGUCCGAGUUGUAAUUUGCAGAGGAUGCUUCGGGUGCGGCCCCCGUCUAAGUGCCCUGGAACGGGCCGUCAGAGAGGGUGAGAAUCCCGUCUUGGGCGGGGUGUCCGUGCCCGUGUGAAGCUCCUUCGACGAGUCGAGUUGUUUGGGAAUGCAGCUCUAAAUGGGUGGUAAAUUUCAUCUAAAGCUAAAUACUGGCCGGAGACCGAUAGCGCACAAGUAGAGUGAUCGAAAGAUGAAAAGCACUUUGAAAAGAGAGUUAAACAGCACGUGAAAUUGUUGAAAGGGAAGCGCUUGCGACCAGACUCGCUCGCGGGGUUCAGCCGGCAUUCGUGCCGGUGUACUUCCCCGCGGGCGGGCCAGCGUCGGUUUGGGCGGUCGGUCAAAGGCCUCCGGAAUGUAUCACCCUCCGGGGUGCCUUAUAGCCGGGGGUGCAAUGCGGCCAGCCCAGACCGAGGAACGCGCUUCGGCACGGACGCUGGCAUAAUGGUCGUAAACGACC
rnacentral:rRNA from 2 species